AUGCGGUGAUCGGCUAUGCAUCGAUGUCUGUGACACUGUUCGGAUCAUAUGAUGUUGCUCAGAUCACCUGCUUUGAACCACUAGAUCAUGAUACCAAGUGUUCCCCGCACCUUUGAAAGUUGGACUUGUUAGCAGAGGACCAAUUAUGGUGUAAUACUUUGCCCCCCACUUCCUAGUGCAAAGCAUUUCGCACUGGGAAAUAGGUCUUCUUUUGGAUUCCGAAGUCAUAC
rnacentral:lncRNA from 1 species